rnacentral:tRNA from 1 species
AAAAAAGUAGCUCAGUUGGUUAGAGCGUGUGGCUGUUAACCACAAUGUCAAAGGUUCAAGUCCUUCUUUUA